CACAACUCAAAACUCCCUUACCGCCACAUACUGUCUUAUCAAAUCGCGAGUACUCUUCUCUUGGUUCAACUAUACUUUUAAAUUCUGCUGUUCUAACCUAAAAUAAUAAUUUUACGAAUUGCAUAUCGGCGUUUUUGCUUUAUAAAAAAAGAAAAUAAAUUUAUGUAUUGAAAUAUUAUCACUUUCAACAAUUUCUGUUUAUCUAAAUAUCUAUAGAAAGUUAGUAGAGAUUGACAGUUGUAAUUAUUUGAUCAUGUGAAAUAUCUAUAUAACACUAUUUCAGUCGCUGUUUUUUUAAAGAAUAAUUAUAACAAACUGACACUCAUAAAUUAUUGAGUAUGAAUUUUAUGCAAAUAUUCCGAGGUUGUAGUGAUAAAUAUUUGUUGAAAUUAACAAAUCAAUUAUUAAACAUUCAAAAUGCAAAAUACAUAAGACUAGCAGAAGUAGGGAAAUUAGAGAAACCAAAGCUCCAAGGAAAAUAUGAAACAGGACAGUUGAUAUUGCAUCGAGUUUUUGGCUAUCGAGGGGUUAUUUUGUUUCCUUGGCUCGCGAGAGUUUUCGACCGUGAUUUACCGAAUAAAAGAAACGGCCAUGAAGAAAACUUCACCAGUGUUGGAAAAGAAGUUAAAGGAAAGACACAUACAUUCUAUCAGGUGUUGAUUGAUCAACGUGAUUGUCCUUUUAUUAGAGCACAAACAGAAGCCGUUACCUUCCUAGGAAAUAAUGAAAGUAGUCGAAGCCUGUAUGCAAUACCUGGUCUUGAUUACGUAGCACACGAAGACAUCCUUCCAUAUUCAACAAACGACAAAUCUGCUUUGCAGCAUGAACUAUUUGACAAAUUUCUGACAUUCAAUCCCAGUAGAGAUCCACCUUUUGUAGCUCAAGAGACCCUCCGAGCUUGGCAAGAAAAAAACCAUCCUUGGCUAGAGUUGUCAGAUGUUCACAAAGAAACAACGGAAAAUAUUCGUGUGACAGUGAUUCCGUUCUACAUGGGAUGCAGGGAGACUCAAACUACAUCAGUUUAUUGGUGGCGUUACUGUAUUAGACUAGAAAAUUUAGGUGACCUUAGUGUUCAAUUACGUGAACGACAUUGGAGAAUAUUCAGUCUGUCUGGAACACUAGAGACAGUCCGGGGACGUGGAGUUGUUGGUCAAGAGCCAGUAUUGUCAAAAACUUUACCAGCUUUUCAGUAUAGUAGUCAUGUUAGUCUCCAAGCACCAAGUGGACACAUGUGGGGUACAUUCAGGAUGGAACGUGAGGAUGGUUAUACAUUCGAUUGUCGCAUACCUCCAUUUUCUUUGGAAUCAAAAGUAGGUGAAUCUUCAGCAACCGACACCGAAAACUGACCCUAGUUAUCGCUUCGGAUAUUCUAAGAUAACGACGACGAGAAUAUAUAUGUUGACAUGGAGAAAUGAACUUGCAUUAGAAAAAGAUAGUUUUUCUGAUGAUUCAGUUAUUAUUCAAGUGUAUAUAUGCAAUAUCGAUUAAGUCAUGUAGAGCUUUUGUAAAUUAAUAUCAUUCAGUAAUUUAGUGAAUCCUAUGAUAAUUCUUAGUAGCAUAAAAUAAUACUGAGGAAGACAAUAAGAUAUCACAAACUGAGCCAUCCGAAAAAGCACAAAAUAAUAAUAACAAUUGGUUCCAGCCAAUUGAAUUCAGUGAGUUGCAGUGGUAAAGCACGUGGCAAUAAACGAGAAUUCUUCUUUGAUAAAGUUUUUCCACUAACUGCUACCCAAGCAGAUAUUUUUGAAGAGUUGUCUCUACUUGUUCAAUCAGCCUUGGAAGGUGACAAUGUUUGUGACUUUGCCUACGGUCAAACUGGUUCUGGUAAAACGUACAUAUACGAUGGAAGGUUGUGAUGAUCCUGAGUUGGAAGGUAUGAUACCUAGAACUGUCCGACAUAUCUUCGUCCAAAUGAAAGAAUUUGAGCUCCUAAGAUGGGAGUAUAAAAUUGAAGCAAGCUUUCUUGAAAUCUAUAACGAGCACAUUGUGGAUCUUUUGGAUAGUCAGCAGAAAAUACGAGAUCAAUAUGGUUGACUCUAGAAGGACUGGUCUGUAUGUUACCAAUUUACAAAUUGAAGAGAUACAUAGUCC